GCCUGGGUGGCUCAAACGGUUGGGCAUCUGACUUCGGCUCAGGGCAUGAUCUCAUGGUUUGUGAGUUCGAGCCCCACGUCGGGCU
rnacentral:tRNA from 1 species